CCAAGUUGACAAGUUUAAUAUCAUUCUUUGACUCUCAUUUGGUUAUUAGUGCAAUCCUCAUCUCUGUUUUGAUUCCAUAGGUUCCAGCUGAAGCUUGAAGGAGAAUACGUUCUUUGGUUUCCUUUCCUUGUUUUCAUUUUCCUUUGAAUUAAUUUUCGUCGCAGCUUUCAUGCUGUCAUCCUCUCAGUUUGUUUCCACUUAACUCAAAAAAAAAAAAAACCUAGUCCCAACUUUCACAGUAAACAACAUGAUCUUCUAGAAAAAUAGCUUGCUACUUUUUUGCGAAGGAGAGGGUUUGUGUGAAGGAAUGGAAAACAGCCUGCUUUUUUGCUCAAUUGUCAAUAUUUGGUAGGAUGGGCAAAGGCAUGACUGGAUGGAUGGUGAAGCAGUAAAUUGUGGUGUGAAAGCUAUUGAAAUAGGAAUGGACGCUCUUGGUGUGAUUGCUACUGUGAUUGUUGUCAUUGCUACUGCGGUGGCAACACAAAUUGGCGAGUCCAUUCGACAGUGGCUCAUCGAGAACGUGGUUGAUCCAUUUGGUCAAUUUCUCAUUGAAAAACUAGUUAAAACUGUUGGACAAUGGCUGGGUUAUUCGUUUCACUACAGCAGCAACAUUGAUAAUAUGAAGAAACAGGCAGAGAAGCUGGGGGAGCUUAGAGAAAGGGUGAAACAUUUAGUUGAUGCUGGUAUAGGAAACUGCAGUGAAAAUAAAGCUGAUGUUAACAGGUGGUUAGAAAAUGUGGAUGUGAUUAUGGGGAAGGUUAGGAAAGUUCUUGAAGAUGAAGCAAGAGCAAAG